GCCUGGCGUAGCUCAGUCGGUCGAGCAUGAGACUGUUAACCUCAGGGUCACGGGUUCGAGCCCCAUGUUGGGCA